UACAGGGGGUGCAAACGUUGCUCGGAAUCAUUGGGCGUAAAGCGCACGUAGGCGGUUCGUUAUGUCGGAUGUGAAAACCCUUGGCUUAACCGAGGAAGUGCAUCCGAAACUGGCGAGCUAGAGUACUAAAGAGGAUCGCGGAAUUCCCGGUGUAGAGGUGAAAUUCGUAGAUAUUGGGAAGAACACCGGUGGCGAAGGCGGCGACCUGGUCCGUGACUGACGCUGAGGCGCGAAAGCGUGGGGGAGCAAACAGG
rnacentral:rRNA from 1 species